UACAGAGGUCUCGAGCAUUAGGCGGAAUCACUGGGCGUAAAGCGUGCGCAGGCGGUUUGCUAAGACAGGUGUGAAAUCCCCGGGCUUAACCUGGGAACUGCGCUUGUUACUGGCAGGCUUGAGUGUGGCAGAGGGGGGUGGAAUUCCACGUGUAGCAGUGAAAUGCGUAGAGAUGUGGAGGAACACCGAUGGCGAAGGCAGCCCCCUGGGCUAACACUGACGCUCAUGCACGAAAGCGUGGGGAGCAAACAGG
rnacentral:rRNA from 1 species